GGGAGCUUGCUCCCUGAAGUCAGCGGCGGACGGGUGAGUAACACGUGGGCAACCUGCCUGUAAGACUGGGAUAACUCCGGGAAACCGGGGCUAAUACCGGAUAAUUCUUUCCCUCACAUGAGGGAAAGCUGAAAGAUGGUUUCGGCUAUCACUUACAGAUGGGCCCGCGGCGCAUUAGCUAGUUGGUGAGGUAACGGCUCACCAAGGCAACGAUGCGUAGCCGACCUGAGAGGGUGAUCGGCCACACUGGGACUGAGACACGGCCCAGACUCCUACGGGAGGCAGCAGUAGGGAAUCUUCCGCAAUGGACGAAAGUCUGACGGAGCAACGCCGCGUGAGUGAUGAAGGUUUUCGGAUCGUAAAACUCUGUUGUUAGGGAAGAACAAGUACCGGAGUAACUGCCGGUACCUUGACGGUACCUAACCAGAAAGCCACGGCUAACUACGUGCCAGCAGCCGCGGUAAUACGUAGGUGGCAAGCGUUGUCCGGAAUUAUUGGGCGUAAAGCGCGCGCAGGCGGUUCCUUAAGUCUGAUGUGAAAGCCCCCGGCUCAACCGGGGAGGGUCAUUGGAAACUGGGGAACUUGAGUGCAGAAGAGAAGAGUGGAAUUCCACGUGUAGCGGUGAAAUGCGUAGAGAUGUGGAGGAACACCAGUGGGCGAAGGCGACUCUUUGGUCUGUAACUGACGCUGAGGCGCGAAAGCGUGGGGAGCAAACAGGAUUA
rnacentral:rRNA from 2 species